UACGGGGGGGGGCAAGCGUUGUUCGGAAUUACUGGGCGUAAAGGGCUCGUAGGCGGCCAACUAAGUCGGAUGUGAAAUCCCCCAGGCUCAACCUGGGAACUGCAUCCGAUACUGGAUGGCUUGAAUUCGGGAGAGGGAUGCAGAAUUCCAGGUGUAGCGGUGAAAUGCGUAGAUAUCUGGAGGAAUACCGGUGGCGAAGGCGGCAUCCUGGACCGACAUUGACGCUGAGGAGCGAAAGCCAGGGGAGCAAACGGG
rnacentral:rRNA from 1 species